rnacentral:sRNA from 2 species
GAGAAUUGACCGCCCAAUUUCCACAGGGGAAGCGGGAGAGAGGCUGUAAGCGGGUGAACUUCAUUGGCUGUAACGGUGAAGCGGGCUAAUCUGCGGUCCCAACCCAAAAGCUAAUCUCGUCGGCGUAGCAGAUGGCUUCA